rnacentral:misc_RNA from 1 species
GAUGAAGAACGCAGCGAAAUGCGAUAAGUAAUGUGAAUUGCAGAUUUCAGUGAAUCAUCGAAUCUUUGAACGCACCUUGCGCCUUGUGGUAUUCCACAAGGCAUGCCCGUUUGAGUAUCAUUAAAUCAUCAACUCUAAAACCUUUGUGGUUUUUUUAGAGCUUGGUCUUGAGGGUUUUGCAGGCUUUUUUUUUCGAGUCUGCUCCCUUUAAAUGCAUUAGCGAGACUUCCCUAUGCUGAACCGUCUCUUUGACGUGAUAAUUAUCUGCGUCGAAUUUUGGUUCUCGUUGGGCUUGCUUCUAAUCGUCUGUUAAAGACAAAACGGAUUUGGGUGCAUAUAUGCGCCUUUUUCCAAAACCUUUUUUGAUCUCAAAUCGGGUAGGACUACCCGCUGAACUUAAGCAUAUCAAUAAGCGGAGGA